rnacentral:rRNA from 1 species
UGGGGAAUCUUCCGCAAUGGACGAAAGUCUGACGGAGCAACGCCGCGUGAGUGAAGAAGGUUUUCGGAUCGUAAAACUCUGUCUUUUGGGGCGAACGUGAGUAUGGUGAACAAUCAUAGUCAGUGACGGUACCAAAGGAGGAAGCCACGGCUAACUACGUGCCAGCAGCCGCGGUAAUACGUAGGUGGCAAGCGUUGUCCGGAAUUAUUGGGCGUAAAGAGCGCGUAGGCGGGAUAGUCAGUCUGUUGUAAAGUGCGGGGCUCAACCCCGUGAUCGCAAUGGAAACAGCUAUUCUUGAGUGCAGGAGAGGAAAGUGGAAUUCCCAGUGUAGCGGUGAAAUGCGUAGAUAUUGGGAGGAACACCAGUGGCGAAGGCGACUUUCUGGACUGUGUCUGACGCUGAGGCGCGAAAGCCAGGGGAGCGAACGGGAUUAGAUACCCCCGGUAGUCCUGGCCGUAAACGAUGGGUACUAGGUGUGGGAGGUAUCGACCCCUUUCCGUGCCGGAGUUAACGCAAUAAGUACCCCGCCUGGGGAGUACGGUCGCAAGACUGAAACUUAAAUGAAUUGACGGGGUCAUAGCUGUUUCCUG